GCGGAUGCGCAUAAUUCGCGGCCGACGUCAAAUUCUUCGCCGUAUUGCCUGGUGCAAAACGAAUCGUCUUGGAUGGUCACGUUGGCUUUCAGCAAGACUUUCGAAUUGACACCGGAACGUUGGUUUGUGUGACCCCA